rnacentral:lncRNA from 11 species
CUCUGGAUUUCCUUGUAUUCAGUCAAAAGAUUGGGGAACCGAGUCUGAGUUAGUCCCAAUCCAUCAGAACUCAAAGAAUGACUGGCAAUGAGCCAACAGAUUCAAAUUCAGUGUGCCAGAAGCAAAUGUAUUCAGUGUCUGAGACGGUGGCAUAAACCACAGGAAGCCUCCCUGCAACCCACUCUAAUCUUGAGAAUUACAGAAGUACCUUUUUGA